GACGAACGCUGGCGGCGUGCUUAACACAUGCAAGUCGAGCGGAAAGGCCCUUCGGGGUACUCGAGCGGCGAACGGGUGAGUAACACGUGAGUAACCUGCCCUAGGCUUUGGGAUAACCCCGGGAAACCGGGGCUAAUACCGGAUAUGACCUGGUGCCGCAUGGUGUUGGGUGGAAAGUUUUUUGGCCUGGGAUGGGCUCGCGGCCUAUCAGCUUGUUGGUGGGGUGAUGGCCUACCAAGGCGAUGACGGGUAGCCGGCCUGAGAGGGCGACCGGCCACACUGGGACUGAGACACGGCCCAGACUCCUACGGGAGGCAGCAGUGGGGAAUAUUGCACAAUGGGCGGAAGCCUGAUGCAGCGACGCCGUGUGAGGGAUGAAGGCCUUCGGGUUGUAAACCUCUUUCAGCAGGGACGAAGCGUGAGUGACGGUACCUGCAGAAGAAGCGCCGGCCAACUACGUG
rnacentral:rRNA from 1 species